ACAGCAGCCGCCACGGGAAUACGAAGGGGGCUAGCGUUGUUCGGAUUUACUGGGCGUAAAGCGCACGUAGGCGGAUCCUUAAGUCAGAGGUGAAAUCCCAAGGCUCAACCUUGGAACUGCCUUUGAUACUGGGGAUCUCGAGUUCGGGAGAGGUGAGUGGAACUGCGAGUGUAGAGGUGAAAUUCGUAGAUAUUCGCAAGAACACCAGUGGCGAAGGCGGCUCACUGGCCCGAUACUGACGCUGAGGUGCGAAAGCGUGGGGAGCAAACAGGAUUAGAGACCCCUGUAGUCCCUGUCUCUUAUAC
rnacentral:rRNA from 1 species